rnacentral:rRNA from 1 species
ACGGGUGAGAAACGCGUAGGAAUCUGCCCAAUAGAGGGGGACAACCGGAGGAAACUCCGGCUAAUACCGCAUAAUACUCUUCGGAGGAAAGGCUGGGUAGCAAUACCUGGCGCUAUUGGAGGAGCCUGCGUCCGAUUAGCUAGUUGGUAGGGUAAAAGCCUACCAAGGCGAUGAUCGGUAGCUGGUCUGAGAGGAUGAUCAGCCACACUGGGACUGAGACACGGCCCAGACUCCUACGGGAGGCAGCAGUGGGGAAUAUUGGACAAUGGGGGCAACCCUGAUCCAGCAAUACCGCGUGUGUGAAGAAGGCCUUAGGGUUGUAAAGCACUUUAGGUGGGGAAGAAGGUGUGCAGUUUAAGAGACAGCACAUUUGACGGUACCCACAGAAUAAGCACCGGCUAACUCUGUGCCAGCAGCCGCGGUAAUACAGAGGGUGCAAGCGUUAAUCGGAGUUACUGGGCGUAAAGGGCGCGUAGGCGGUUAUAUAAGUGAGAUGUGAAAUCCCUGGGCUUAACCUAGGAACUGCAUCUUAUACUGUAUAGCUAGAGUAUUGUAGAGGGUAGUGGAAUUUCCGGUG